UAAUACGAAGGUGGCAAGCGUUGUUCGGAUUUACUGGGCGUACAGGGAGCGUAGGCGGUUGGGUAAGCCCUCCGUGAAAUCUCCGAGCCUAACCCGGAAAGUGCGGAGGGACUGCUCGGCUAGAGGAUGGGAGAGGAGCGCGGAAUUCCCCGGUGUAGCGGUGAAAUGCGUAGAGAUCGGGAGGAAGGCCGGUGGCGAAGGCGGCGCUCUGGAACAUUUCUGACGCUGAGGCUCGAAAGCGUGGGGAGCAAACAGGAUUAGAUACCCCUGGUAGUCCACGCCUUAAACGAUGGAUACUAAGUGUCGGCGGGUUACCGCCGGUGCCGCAGCUAACGCAUUAAGUAUCCCGCCUGGGAAGUACGGCCGCAAGGUUGAAACUCAAAGGAAUUGACGGGGGCCCGCACAAGCGGUGGAGCAUGUGGUUUAAUUCGACGCAACGCGAAGAACCUUACCCAGGCUGGACAUGCAGGUAGUAGAAGGGUGAAAGCCUAACGAGGUAGCAAUACCAUCCUGCUCAGGUGCUGCA
rnacentral:rRNA from 1 species